AACAUCGAAACUAAGAUUUACAGUUAAUAGUAAUAGGGUUCAGUUCUGAAAUAUAUACAUAAACGAAACGCUUGGAGGGUGAUGAUCGGGAAAAUGUACGAGUUUCUUUUCAUGCCUCUGGUUCGCAAGUUUCAUUGUUGUGCCAUAUUCAAGAACCUUCGGAGAGAAAGAGAAGCUUCGGAAAACUUCUCCAAAGGACGUCUCUGGUACAUUUUAAGAGAUCUUGAGGAAAUUGACCUGCAACACCAUUGAAUCAACAGUUUUUUAUAUUACCAUGAAACUUUUAGCAAAAAGAGACAUGAGUUGAGCUGAAAACACAUAAUAUGGGAAUUUAAACACAAUAUGAUCGGAGAAUAUAAAUUCAGCUUACAGAAGUGAAAAGAACGAAGAACUUUGUAAAGACAUAGAAAUAGAUACCGCACGUGAGUCUGUGAAAAAGAUGAAGAAUCUUGUGAAAAUGUCUUCCACCAUUAGAGCAAAGAUGAUAGCUGGCUGAGUCUGAGAAGAUCAACGUUUCGCUUGUGGGUUAUAGAAAAAACAAUAAAAUGUUAUUUCUUAAUUUAUGUCUUUCUCCAUAUAGAAGAAAUAUAGAAAGUGGCCAUGGCAGUGGUUCUUUUCUUUUGCUU
rnacentral:lncRNA from 1 species